rnacentral:rRNA from 1 species
AUUGAACGCUGGCGGAAUGCUUUACACAUGCAAGUCGAACGGCAGCACGGACUUCGGUCUGGUGGCGAGUGGCGAACGGGUGAGUAAUGUAUCGGAACGUGCCCAGUCGGGGGGGAUAACGUAGUGAAAAUUACGCUAAUACCACAUCAGAUCUAUGGAUGAAAGCGGGGGAUCGCAAGACCUCGCGCGAUUGGAGCGGCCGAUAUCAGAGUAGGUAGUUGGGGGGGUAAAGGCCCACCAAGCCAACGAUCUGUAGCUGGUCUGAGAGGACGACCAGCCACACUGGAACUGAGACACGGUCCAGACUCCUACGGGAGGCAGCAGUGGGGAAUUUUGGACAAUGGGCGAAAGCCUGAUCCAGCCAUUCCGCGUGCAGGAUGAAGGCCCUCGGGUUGUAAACUGCUUUUGUACAGAACGAAAAGGUUUCUACUAAUACUAGGAGCUCAUGACGGUACUGUAAGAAUAAGCACCGGCUAACUACGUGCCAGCAGCCGCUGUAA